UUCCCUCGCCGAACUCCCCUAAGCCCUUGCCCCGCGACGCGCCUCCUUCCUCUCUUCUCGCGAGCCACCGCACCCUAGCCGGCGAUUCCCUUCCCCUUCUCAAGUUUUCGGACGCCGCCGAUCUCCUCCUCACGCGAACGAGCCACAGCAGACGUCGACUUCUCUCUUCCUCUCACCCGAGCAACCGACGACCUCUCCUCACGCCAGCACCGGGACGCCGCGACGAGCCAACGGCUGACACCGACCCUCUCCUCCCCGAGUCGUGCCCUAACCGACCUGGUAACAGGUAGAUGAGUCAUGGAUGCUUGGAGAGUCCCGGCUGCCAGUCCCAGGUUACACUCGAGGAUAGUUUUCGUUUUGGUUUUGUUAUCGUUUGAGGUGGUAUAUUGAUUUUGUGUAUUUUGUUUUCAAUAAGACGCUAUGAUUUUGGGUCA